rnacentral:snoRNA from 1 species
CCCGUCUCAGAGUCGCACCUGGAGAGUUUCCAGUACUCUACCAGACUCGACUAUGGGAGGGAGAGUCAAGCAGAGGCAUAUCCAUUCCAUUCCAUUCCUAGCUUGGCCAGCAGCUAGUGAAUGGAAGCAAUCUGCUACAAGU